GGACGAGUGAUAUUAGAGCUCGCUGAAUUGCCUGAUCAGGACGCUUCACACCACCUCUAGCGAUGGCGAUGUCUAGACUGACAGGAGAAGAUCAUGGCAGCGAUGGAACGGGAGACGAUUCGGCGGAUAUAUAGGAAGGAGAAGAAACGGGAUAGGAGAGGAAUUUCAAUCACAUUAUACCUGAUAAAAUUCUUACUAAUAAACCUUGC
rnacentral:lncRNA from 1 species